GGGGAGAGGGCUGGAGAUUGAGUUCAACUACCAGUGGCCAAUGAUUUAAUCAAACGUGCCCAUGUAAUGAAGCCUCCAUAAAACCCCAAAAGGACAAGGUUCAGAGAGCUUCUGGAUUGGUGGACACAUGGACAUCUGGGGAGAGCACUGUGCUUGGAGACAGCAAGCCUUCCUUCCCCGAUAUCUUGCCCUAUGCAUCUCUUCCAUAGGGCUGUGCUUGAGUUAUAUCUUUUUACAACAAAUUGGUGAUCUAGAUAUAUAUCACCAAUUACGAUCGGUCCUCACCGCUUCAGCCUGGCUUGGUUUAUCUUCACACUGGAAAGAUCAUUUGGCUUGCCCAUCUCUUUUCAAGCAGCAAUUUGUUAAAAAAAAAAAUCAGUGAAUACAGCACAAAACUGUAGGCGGUCUUGGCCAUCUCUCAGUCCUAUCAAACAUUGUGAAAAUGAUCAGCAGGGCAAGAGUUGCAUCUGAAACCUACUUGAAUCCUCUGACAAGACUCUAUGAGAAACGAUUCAAUCCAAAGAAGAGCUGGGGUGGAUUUCAAAAGACAUGACAUCCCCUUUCCCAAAUAAUUCAGCCAUAAUUUUGGGGAGACAGAGGGCCGCCAUUUUGAAAAUGGUGUCAAUUCUAUGAUUGGUCACUUUUGGGAGAUUCUAUACCUUGGGAGGUAAUGAGGGUGAAGAAUUGAACUAAAAUUAGGGCUAAACAGUUCCAGAGAAAACAGAUGUGACCUGACCCUUUUCUUUGUUAGGUGAUUGCAGUGGUUCUGAAACUCAGAGUCAGCAUCACUUUGGGGGUUUAGAAACUCUUAGAUUCCUCAGAUUCUGAUUCUGUAGGUCUGGUGGGGCCCGAUUGUAUGUCUAUAUGUGGCUCUGAUGGCAAUUUCCCUUCUUUCUGAGAUUAUCUAUUUGGGAAAAAAGUUUUGGUCUCAGCACAGUUGCUUCCUGGCGCCUCUCCGCUAACCUGUGCGAAGGCUUCCUUUGCCUCUGAUCACUGUUCCUCACCUUCCGGCUGGCAGUGGAGGGUGGACAUGGGCACGAUGCUCUUGGCUGCCAGACCUCAAAUCCCCAGUGAUUUCCCUCUGAGGAAAUAGAGGUUUACCCCAGAACACAAACAACUCUGCCUUGAAUAUUAUACAUCACUGUAUACUCUUUGGCCCAUUGUUAUGGGUUGAAUUGUGUCCCACCAAAAAAGAUAUGUUGGAGUCCUAAUCCCUUUGGAAUGUGACCUUUUAGAAUCUUUACAGAGGUAAUGAGUUAAAAUAAGGUCGUGAGGGUGGGCCCUAAUCUACUAUGACUGAUACCUUUAUAAGAAGAGGAAAUGUGGGCACAGGUGCACAUACAGGGAGAGCGCCAUGUAAGCAUGAAGGUGGCCAACUACAAGCCAAGUUGAGGAGCUUGGACCAGAUUCUCCCUUGUGGCCCUUAGAGGGACCAAUGCUGCUGACACCUUAGUCUUGGACUUGUAGAUUAAGAACUAGGAGACAAUAAAUUUCUUUCGUUUAAGUCACCCAGCGUGCAGCACUGUGUUAUGGUGGUCCUAGCAAAUGAACGCAUCCCCUGGCCUUAGGGAUUUCCCUCCAUGGGACACCUUUCUCUUCAGGCUCCAUCCUCCUCUCCUGUCAUCUGGUCUUUCUCUUUUCCCUCCCUCUUCCUCCCUUUUCUUUCGUUCUCUAUCCUGUACCCCCAAUUCCAGCUUAUUGCUUACUUACAACAAUUAGCUAUUUCUGUGCUCCAGAUCUUUUAAUCUUGAUCUCCAGAGGCUGUUCCCUUCUCACUCUUAAUCUCAAGAUGUUUUCCUAAACAGAAAGUUCCCUUCCCUAAGAGGAACUCUGGUGGCAGUUGUCAAGAUAAUGGCUUUUUCACCUGCUACAAGUAAUUGUUUUUAAAGCUCUCGAGAUGCUUCUGAUGUGCAGUCGGGGUUGAGAACCACUGCUGCAAAGUGAAUUGUCACUGCUGCUCACCCAGGAGGACCCUGGGCUUACACAGUACCGAGAACCUGUCAUGCAAAUGAAAAUUCAAGUGAUCAACUGGCAUUUGUCAACUGAAGUUUGCAUUCCUGUAAUCCUUUUGCAAAAAAGGUACCUGCAGCAAUAAUAUAAAAUCUUCAUUUGAUACUAGCCUUGACGACUGUUUUGUACACAACUGUGUCCCCCACAAAUUCGUAUGUUGCAGCCCUGACCCUCAAUUUGACUGUCUUUAGAGACAAGGCCUUUAAAGAGAUGAUUAAGUUAAAAGGAGGUCGUAUGGGUGGGCCCUAAUCCGAUGUGACUAGUGUCCUUAUAAGAAGAGGAGAGAAAGACACAGGCAUAAGUGCACAUAGAGAAAACCACAUGAGGACACAGCGAGAAGGCAGCUGUCUGCAAGCCAAGGAGAGAGGCCUCAGGAGAAACCAACCCUGCUGACAUCUUAGACUUCUGGCCUCCAAAAUUGUGAGAAAAUAAAUAUCUGUUGUUUAAGCCUUCAAGUCUGUGGUAUUUUGCUAUGGCAGCCCGAGCAGACUGAUACAAUAGCUGAAUCCAAAGCGUUCUGCUGAGGUAUAAUGUAAAUUUUUUUAAAGAAUGAUGUUUACAAGGGAUUUUCACUCUGUAAGGGUAACAGGAAUAAUAUUAUGAAAUGUUAACCUGACCCAGUUUUCAUACCCCGGUAAGUCAGGCACUCCCAAGCCUUCUACCAUGAAUGCUAAGCCACAAACUGCAGGGGAGGGGAGGGGAGUGUCUGGAAUAAAAAGGCCAUUGAUGGCCUUUGAUUUUCAAAAGCUGACUUUGUUGACUCCAUAUUGAAAUAAUAGUUUUGAAAGCCAGGCUUUAUGAGAGAGAAAAUGUUUAUUUUCUGAAUUUUAAAAGCUCCCUUUAUAUACGGGGAGUUAGGGCUGGCAUUUAGACAUACAAGCCUUAGGUAGAGAGAACUCAGGUUAUUUCAUAAGGGAGGAGCCGACUGGACAGGAAGAGGAAGAUAGGAAGUAAAAUCAUCAGACCUGUGUCCUGGCUUCUUCCCCUGAAAGAGGCUGUGUUAGAAACAUCCAGGUCGUUUGAGGGAAUCCCAGAGCAAUGACUUUGUUCCUCACUUUUCCAGGUACAGACGGGAAAAAUGCCAAUCCCAGAGAGUUGCUGCAUCCAACAUGAUGCCACCCAGGGGGUGAGUUACAAAGGGCCGAAUGCAGGGCCUAGUUAGAGAGAGGAUAGAGACAGUCCCACUCUGCACGUGUUUCUAGGCCCCUGUGUGGCAUAGAAAAGGUCCUGAUGGUCCUGUGUGCUCCUGGUGGAGAAUGUAAGGUUAGCUGAGCAGAGCCAGGAGACCGCCUAUGGGGCUGCCUGGGGCAGCUGUGACCCUACAGCAGAGGCUGUGGGAAUGUAGGAGAAUGUUGUCAAGAUUCAGAGCAUUUGCAAAGCCAGCGAGAGCCAGAGAGAGCCAAGAUGGCAGAACUGGGAGGAGAGGCACAAGCAGUGUGCCCGUGACGAAGAUGGACGAGAAACUUUGACUCUUGCAUAAGGACCACACUGGGGUCUGAGAGUCUCCUCCGGGGCAAAGCUCCUGUAAGCUUUUCCCUACAACAACUGAAGGGCAAGUGGGGGUGGGAGCAGGGCAGAAAUCCUGAAAGAUGCAAGAGACUAAAGUAAACCAAAAAAAACAGUGUUAAACUGGAAAAGAUGGAGAUAUAUUUAGCUGGCAAGUCUGUACACCCUUCUUCUCCAACCUCUGCUCUUUUCCACUUCAAGGAAAAGCGGAGUAAUGGUUAUAGAAAGCAAAGGAGUAAACUUUUCUGGCCCCCUGAACGCAUGGGACAGGGUUUUCAACCCACUACACCAUGUGUGUGAUUGCUGCUGACUUCUCUAGGACUUUGACUCACCCACUUUUGCCAGACGUCUCCGAACUUCUUUGUAGGUAAAUAAAAUCAAGAGAGAGGGUCGUUAUUCCCUGGAGUCUUGAUUUAAGACGGUUUAUGCUCUGUGGUACGCAGUUGCUUCGCUCACUAAUCAUGUAAUGUAUCCUAAUAAUACCAUGCGAGUACCAUUUUGAUUUUUUGUUUACUUAUUUUAAUGGGCUAACAUAGGAGGUGGCAAACUUUUUCAAAGAACCAGAUAGUAAAUAUUUUAGGCUUUGUGGGCCACUUGAUUCCUGCUACAGCUCUUCAGUUUUGCUCUUGUAGCACAAAAGCAGCCAUAGACAACAUGUCAAGGCAUGGAUGUGGCUGAGUUCCAAUAAAAUUUUAUUGCUGGACACCAAAAUUUGAAUUUUAUAUAAUUUGCUCACGAGACAAAAUCUUCUUCUUCUUUUCAUUUUUUUCUCC
rnacentral:lncRNA from 1 species